GUCCAUGCCGUAAACGAUGUCUACUAGCCGUUGGGGCCUUUGAGGCUUUAGUGGCGCAGCUAACGCGAUAAGUAGACCGCCUGGGGAGUACGGUCGCAAGACUAAAACUCAAAUGAAUUGACGGGGGGCCCGCACAAGCGGUGGAGCAUGUGGUUUAAUUCGAUGCAACGCGAAGAACCUUACCUGGUCUUGACAUAGUAGAAACUUUCCAGAGAUGGAUUGGUGCCUUCGGGAAUCUACAUACAGGUGCUGCAUGGCUGUCGU
rnacentral:rRNA from 1 species